rnacentral:lncRNA from 1 species
GCACGCUAACUUUUGGUUACUUUCUGUGGGAAAUAUUAUAUUGCUAUGCAAUUAAAUAAGUUCUUAUGCACCUCUAUACCAAAACAUUGUUAAACGUUGUGUAUUUUCUGUUCUAGCUCUAGGGGUUUUCUUAAUUUCUAGAUAUUAAAGAGAGGGGGCUCUUAUCAUGCAAUUCAUAGAUGCGAUAAAAACCAUUUAUACAGUCAUGCACAUAUGAUAGGGUAUUUAAUUUUGUUUUUUUUUUCAUCUGCUCGUCGAUACAAUAAAGGGACGGAAGUGUGCUCCUUAGACAAAAAUACAUACUAUUUGCCUAAAAUCAAGACGUUAGUUUUCUAAUUUGAAUUGUUUCCAAAGGCUCUCUACAGCUUUUUUGAGGG